GGACAGGGGGUGGAGGCAUCUGGGCAGGAUGUGACCAACACCAGCCAUGGGAAACUAGUGGGGCUGGAGCUUGGGAAAGGGAGAGCUGAAUGUGGAAUGUUUAGCGAGUAAGAACUGGAAAACGCGCCUGAGCUUUAAUCCCACACACGCUGGGGUGAAAGCGUUUGUGGACUUUCAUCUCGGAAGACAGGGAGCCUCGACAGCGAGCGCCACGCCUGCGGUGCAACUUGCGUUUGAAACGUUCGGCUACAAAGUAAACUUGUAUCUAUAGCAAGUAACUCUCCAAGCGCGCUUUUCAAUAGGUACAAAUUAUCUGUGACGAUUUCAGGCAAAACCGAUUUCCCCCUCCCUUUUCCAAAUGGGCUUUUACACUAGUCAUCAAACUUUACAGCUGUGCUCUCGAUAGGAAAGACUACAGGAAAAAAGUUUCAGCCGCUUCGGAUGAUGCUACGCAGCAGCCCUCAGACCUAUCAGGCCUUUAACUACACUUUACACGAAAACACCUGACACCUAAGAAGGUCCUGAUGAAGAGAAUGACAAGCACGACCCAUCAAUUCAUCUGCCCACUACUCGAGACAAGAUCAUUUGGCAAGUUCUUGAAAACCAACAUCAAAGAACACAGGUUCGCCUCCUCGGUCUUUCUAAAGUUUCCCCAUCCCACGGAGGGGCAGCAAGAGCCGCAGAACCGGGUCAAAGGCACCCCAAUCGAGAGGGAGCGCACUUCUCCGGGUCCACCGCGCUUCUGUACCCUUCCAGCAAGGAACUAACAUUUAUUAGGCACCAACUAUAUGCCAGCCCCUGAACAGGGCAAUGGGAGCUUGGAGAUGAAUCUGACAAAGUUCUGCCCUUCCAGAUUCAGGGAAGGUUCCAAGUCUAGCACGAAGAAUUCUUUUUCCUGAAGUCGCUGCCCGGAUGCUCCACAACUUCUGAGCACGUUGGGAUGUGUUUGCUUCCGACUGAGCUGUCCCCGCGCCAAAAUGGACCAGGAGGACCGAAAUCAAGAAAUAGAGAUGGAUAAUUGUGGCAGCUUUAUUUGUAUUGAGUGGAUAGACAAACUGUAGUCUAUCCGUGCGAUGAAAUCCUACUCAGGAAUAGUAAUGAAGGCGCUGCGACAUAAUGAACCUCAGAAACUCUGUGUCGGAGUAAAAGAAGCCGGAGGCAGAGAGUACACGUUGUUUGAUUCCAAGUAGGUGAUGCCCUAGAACAGCGAAAACCUCAUCUAUGGGGGUGGAGAUCUCCGGACGGGUGGGACUGACGAAGUUGGGGCACGAGCAGCUCUCUGCGUGAUGGAAAAGUCCUCUAUCCGGGGGUGGCUCCCCGGGUGCACAUGUUAUGGAAACUUUCCGACUGUAGCUCUAAGUUCUGUACAAGUUGCUGCAUGUAAAUUAUACACCCAAAAAAGACGGGGGAAAUCUGGACAAGACGUGAAUUGAACUGGGCUAGCGCUCAACGAAAACUUCAAUUCUUUCACGACUUAUCUCAUGGCCAAGUCAAUUUCGCAAAAUAGUUUUCCCUUGGGUGUUUCCCAGACAUUACUUGUGGGAAUGACCCAGGUUUGAAGUGUAGGCUCCAGGGUCAAGGUGAACGGGAGGGAAUGGAAGAGUCUUGCUUCUCCGUCCAGAUACUGUCAGUGCUGGCUGUUGCUGAGUGAUGAUGUUCAAAGGAAGGAGGAAAAACUGCUCCUGCUUCUAAUAGACUUGAUGGAAACUUCCAGAACCAGGUGCGCUUCUCCUCUACAGGCCGUUGGGCCGCCUCCCAGAUGCUGUCUGGCCCACACUGGACUGGAAGGCUCAAGCCAAUUUUAAAUUGACCUUGGUCCUGUCUGGCCAGGAUCUAUGCUGCGUGCGAAGUCAUCUUUUUGCUCUAUCUCAUCACCCUGAAUUCCCUGGUCAUACCUCACAGAUACACCCUAGGGUAUUGGCUUGUCCCCGGGUAAAGUCCUAGGGGUGGCAAGUCAAAAGUAGAGGUGAGGGGCUGGCCCGGUGGCACAGGGGUUA